ACCCGCUGAACUUAAGCAUAUCAAUAAGCGGAGGAAAAGAAACCAACAGGGAUUACCUCAGUAACGGCGAGUGAAGCGGUAACAGCUCAAAUUUGAAAUCUGGCUCUUUCAGGGUCCGAGUUGUAAUUUGUAGAAGAUGCUUCGGGUGUGGUCCCGGUCUAAGUUCCUUGGAACAGGACGUCAUAGAGGGUGAGAAUCCCGUAUGUGACUGGGUACCUAUGCUCAUGUGAAGCUCUUUCGACGAGUCGAGUUGUUUGGGAAUGCAGCUCAAAAUGGGUGGUAAAUUUCAUCUAAAGCUAAAUAUUGGCCAGAGACCGAUAGCGCACAAGUAGAGUGAUCGAAAGAUGAAAAGCACUUUGGAAAGAGAGUUAAACAGUACGUGAAAUUGUUGAAAGGGAAGCGCUUGCAACCAGACUUGCACGUUGUUGAUCAUCCGAGAUUUUUCCCGGUGCACUCGAUUUCGUUCAGGCCAGCAUCGGUUUCAGUGGUUGGAUAAAGGCCUUGGGAAUGUAGCUUCUUUCGGGGAGUGUUAUAGCCCUCGGUGCAAUGCAGCCUACUGGGACCGAGGACCGCGCUUCGGCUAGGAUGCUGGCGUAAUGGUUGUAAGCGACCCGUCUUGAAACACGG
rnacentral:rRNA from 1 species